AUGUCUGGGAAUACAGAGCUCUGCUUCGCGCUCUUCCUCGGGCUCCGUUCUGUCUCCGUCCGGCCGUCUCUCGCCGGCCGUCUGGUGGCCCGAGGUGGCGGCGGGCCCGACGCGGGACACGAUGAGCGGCGCCUGCACGAGCUACGUGAGCGCCGAGCAGGAGGUGGUGCGCGGCUUCAGCUGCCCGCGGCCGGGGGGCGAAGCGGCCGCCGUCUUCUGCUGCGGCUUCCGCGACCACAAGUACUGCUGCGACGAUCCGCACAGCUUCUUCCCCUACGAGCACAACUACAUGUGGUGGCUCAGGUACCGGCCCUGGCCCUCACCCCACCUGGAACCCCACUCCGUCUUAGGCCCCUCGCCCCAUCCUCGGCCCGACCCGGUACUGAACCCUCAGUCCUCCCCCAGGUGCCCGGCCAAUGUCAGCAGCGACCCCCGCCCAGCCUUGACCCGCCCGGGCUCUGGCGGCCGGCCACCAACCGGCUCUGCGGCUGCCGCUUCGCAGCUCCAGUCCCCCAUCCUGACCCAACCAUUAUUCAAAUCCAUCCUUGACCCUCACCCCAACUCCACCCUGAAAAACCUUCACUUCAUCCCCACUCCAAACGUCGUUGCCACCACCACCCUAACCCAACCUCAGAUUGCAUAACCACCCCCACCCUCACAGCAAACUCCCAUCAUUCGCAGGACUCCCGAACUCCUCCCUUGUGAGAGUGUUCUCCAGGGCCCCUUUCCAGUAGCGACCUCAUCCCUGACCUUACCCACUCCCCAGUGCUGCUCCCGGCCCUUACUCUCUCACCAGCCCCAACCUCCCCAUCGGUCCUCCCUGCAAGCCCACCUCAGCUCUCCUUGCUCACCUGGACUGCAAACAUUAUCCAGACCUACAUUCAAACCUCACCCUCAAGCCUUAAUACCCCACCUGAUGCUACACCCCAGCCGCAGCCCAACCACAGUUAUUUUCUUCCCCCUCAUAUUUAGUUAUUCUUUCAGCCACCCCUUCCCCAGAACUUAGCAAUGCCAGGCCCUGGAGUGAGUUCCAAGCAAAGGCAGAAGACCAAAGAUGCACAGUUGCCUCCAAGCUCAUCCUGAGACAAUGACAUAAUCCCACAGCAGAAGCCAGAUCAGUGUAAUGUGGGUGAAUCCCUACCCACCAGACCUCAGUUUCCCCAGCAGUUCAGAGAAGAGGGUGGUCAGGCCAGUGCUGACAUUUCUGGACCCUAGAGCAGGGCUGACAAGGCAAUGGGUCUCAUUCUCUCUGGGUCUCCGAAGUCCCCACCCAGAAAACAGGGCCUGAGCCUGAGCCUGCUCUGGGAAACAGGCAUCAGCAAAAAUGGAGUGGGCUCUCUCCAUAGACAAUGCUCUUCCUGCCCCCGGAGGUAUGUGACCAGAGACUGCAUGCCCUGUAGGUGGGGAGGCACAGCCUAGCUCUAAAACCUCUCUGAGCCUCUGUCUCUCCAUCUAUCAAAUGGGGAGGAUGAUUUCUGACUGGGACAAGUUCCAAAUGAGAUCACGAGGUAGAAUCAACUCAGCACAUCCAUUAGCAACUAGAGAUAUU
rnacentral:lncRNA from 1 species